GCAUGUGUCAGUAUAUCUGUCUGUGUGCCAGUAUGUCUGUGUGUGUGUGUGUCAGUAUAUCAGUCUGUUUGUGUCAGUGUAUGUGCCUGUGUGUGUGUGUCAGUAUUGCUCAGUGUAUGUGGGUGUCAGUAUAUCUGUCAGUGUGUGGGUGUCAGUAUUUCUGUCAGUGUAUGUGUGUCAGUAUGUCGGUAUAUGUGUCUGUGUGUCAGUAUGUCUGUAUAUGUGCCUGUGUCAGUAUGUCUGUCAGUACGUCUACCAGUGUAUGUGUCUGUGUGUGUGUCAAUAUAUGUACCUGUGUCAGUGUAUGUGCCUGUUUAUCUGUAUGUAGUCAGUGUAUGUAUCUGUGUAUCUGCUUGUGCGUCAGAGUGUGUACCUGUGCAUCUGAGCCGCAACUUUAAAUACAAAUACACCCCUCCAUUCAAACUUCAGC